UCCCCGUUCUAUCUACACGAUUCGAAAUUACCCGUAAUGCAAUUAAAUUUCAAAUAUUAAGAUUAUUUUUAUUGUUUAUGUUUACAAUCCGAAAAAUUAAAAUAAAAAGAACUUCGUUUUCAACUAAUGAAAUGUUGUACACCGUUCAUUCACACCAUUCCCGAUCGCACGUUACACAAUCACACCAUUCCUCAUACACCAUUACACCAUUCCUCUUACUCCAUACACCAUAGCACCAUACACCUUACACCAUUGCAC
rnacentral:lncRNA from 1 species